UACGUAGGGACCAAGCGUUGUUCGGAUUUACUGGGCGUAAAGGGCGCGUAGGCGGCAGAUUAAGUCAGCUGUGAAAUCUCCGAGCUUAACUCGGAACUGUCAGCUGAUACUGUUUUGCUAGAGUGCGGAAGGGGCAAUCGGAAUUCUUGGUGUAGCGGUGAAAUGCGUAGAUAUCAAGAGGAACACCUGAGGUGAAGACGGGUUGCUGGGCCGACACUGACGCUGAGUGCGCGAAAGCCAGGGGAGCAAACGGG
rnacentral:rRNA from 1 species